GACGAACGCUGGCGGCGUGCUUAACACAUGCAAGUCGAACGGAAAGGCCCUGCUUUUGUGGGGUGCUCGAGUGGCGAACGGGUGAGUAACACGUGAGUAACCUGCCCUUGACUUUGGGAUAACUUGAGGAAACUGGGGCUAAUACCGGAUAGGAGCUCCUGCUGCAUGGUGGGGGUUGGAAAGUUUCGGCGGUUGGGGAUGGACUCGAGGCUUAUCAGCUUGUUGGUGGGGUAGUGGAUUACCAAGGCUUUGACGGGUAGCCGGCCUGAGAGGGUGGCCGGCCACAUUGGGACUGCGAUACGGCCCAGACUCCUACGGGAGGCAGCAGUGGGGAAUAUUGCACAAUGGGCGGAAGCCUGAUGCAGCAACGCCGCGUGCGGGAUGACGGCCUUCGGGUUGUAAACCGCUUUCGCCUGUGACGAAGCGUGAGUGACGGUAAUGGGUAAAGAAGCACCGGCUAACUACGUG
rnacentral:rRNA from 1 species